rnacentral:rRNA from 1 species
CACGUAGGGUGCGAGCGUUGUCCGGAAUUACUGGGCGUAAAGAGCUCGUAGGUGGUUUGUCGCGUUGUCCGUGAAAACUCACAGCUUAACUGUGGGCGUGCGGGCGAUACGGGCAGACUGGAGUACUGCAGGGGAGACUGGAAUUCCUGGUGUAGCGGUGGAAUGCGCAGAUAUCAGGAGGAACACCGGUGGCGAAGGCGGGUCUCUGGGCAGUAACUGACGCUGAGGAGCGAAGGCGUGGGGAGCGAACAGG